CGAAAGCCUGACGGAGCAAUACCGCGUGAGGGAGGAAGGCUCUUGGGUUGUAAACCUCUUUUAUCAGGGAAGAACAAAAUGACGGUACCUGAGGAAUCAGCAUCGGCUAACUCCGUGCCAGCAGCCGCGGUAAUACGGAGGAUGCAAGCGUUAUCCGGAAUGAUUGGGCGUAAAGCGUCCGUAGGUGGCGGUUCAAGUCUGCUGUCAAAGGUCGGGGCUCAACUCCGAACAGGCAGUGGAAACUGAAUUGCUAGAGUGCGGUAGGGGUAGAGGGAAUUCCCGGUGUAGCGGUGAAAUGCGUAGAGAUCGGGAAGAACACCAGUGGCGAAAGCGCUCUACUAGGUCGCAACUGACACUGAGGGACGAAAGCUA
rnacentral:rRNA from 1 species